GGAGAGAUGGUCGAGUGGUUUAAGGCGUGGCAUUGGAAUUGCUAUGUAGGCUUUUGUUUACCGAGGGUUCGAAUCCCUCUCUUUCCG
rnacentral:tRNA from 1 species